rnacentral:rRNA from 1 species
AAUCCAUAGGUUAAUGAGGCGAACCGGGGGAACUGAAACAUCUAAGUACCCCGAGGAAAAGAAAUCAACCGAGAUUCCCCCAGUAGCGGCGAGCGAACGGGGAGGAGCCCAGAGCCUGAAUCAGCAUGUGUGUUAGUGGAAGCGUCUGGAAAGGCGCGCGAUACAGGGUGACAGCCCCGUACACAAAAGCGCAUGUGCUGUGAGCUCGAUGAGUAGGGCGGGACACGUGGUAUCCUGUCUGAAUAUGGGGGGACCAUCCUCCAAGGCUAAAUACUCCUGACUGACCGAUAGUGAACCAGUACCGUGAGGGAAAGGCGAAAAGAACCCCGGCGAGGGGAGUGAAAAAGAACCUGAAACCGUGUACGUACAAGCAGUGGGAGCCCCACCACUAAGCCAGUGGUGAACUCCACAUACGCAUCCU